rnacentral:rRNA from 1 species
UGAGGAAUAUUGGACAAUGGGCGAAAGCCUGAUCCAGCCAUGCCGCGUGAGUGAUGAAGGCCCUAGGGUUGUAAAACUCUUUUAGCGGGGAAGAUAAUGACGGUACCCGCAGAAAAAGCACCGGCUAACUCCGUGCCAGCAGCCGCGGUAAUACGGAGGGUGCUAGCGUUAUUCGGAAUUACUGGGCGUAAAGCGCGCGUAGGCGGAAAUAAAAGUCAGAGGUGAAAUCCCGGAGCUUAACUUCGGAACUGCCUUUGAAACUGUAUUUCUGGAGUCCGGUAGAGGAGUGUGGAAUUCCAUGUGUAGCGGUGAAAUGCGUAGAUAUAUGGAGGAACACCAGUGGCGAAGGCGACACUCUGGACCGGUACUGACGCUGAGGCGCGAAAGCGUGGGGAGCAAA